rnacentral:tRNA from 1 species
GGCCCUUUAGCUCAGUUGGUCNUUGGUCAGAGCGAGCGACUCAUAAUCGCCAGGUCGCUGGUUCAAGUCCAGCAAGGGCCACCA